rnacentral:rRNA from 1 species
AAGACGGUCUUGCUGUCACUUAUAGAUGGAUCCGCGCUGCAUUAGCUAGUUGGUAAGGUAACGGCUUACCAAGGCAACGAUGCAUAGCCGACCUGAGAGGGUGAUCGGCCACACUGGAACUGAGACACGGUCCAGACUCCUACGGGAGGCAGCAGUAGGGAAUCUUCCGCAAUGGGCGAAAGCCUGACGGAGCAACGCCGCGUGAGUGAUGAAGGUCUUCGGAUCGUAAAACUCUGUUAUUAGGGAAGAACAUAUGUGUAAGUAACUGUGCACAUCUUGACGGUACCUAAUCAGAAAGCCACGGCUAACUACGUGCCAGCAGCCGCGGUAAUACGUAGGUGGCAAGCGUUAUCCGGAAUUAUUGGGCGUAAAGCGCGCGUAGGCGGUUUUUUAAGUCUGAUGUGAAAGCCCACGGCUCAACCGUGGAGGGUCAUUGGAAACUGGAAAACUUGAGUGCAGAAGAGGAAAGUGGAAUUCCAUGUGUAGCGGUGAAAUGCGCAGAGAUAUGGAGGAACACCAGUGGCGAAGGCGACUUUCUGGUCUGUAACUGACGCUGAUGUGCGAAAGCGUGGGGAUCAAACAGGAUUAGAUACCCUGGUAGUCCACGCCGUAAACGAUGAGUGCUAAGUGUUAGGGGGUUUCCGCCCCUUAGUGCUGCAGCUAACGCAUUAAGCACUCCGCCUGGGGAGUACGACCGCAAGGUUGAAACUCAAAGGAAUUGACGGGGACCCGCACAAGCGGUGGAGCAUGUGGUUUAAUUCGA